rnacentral:lncRNA from 1 species
AAUAGCGGCCCUAACAGGGCCCUUCCUGAACCGUGGGGAGGUGAGUUCCCAGAGAACGGGACUCUGCGCAAGGGCAUACUGGGCACAAAUCACGAGCCACUGAAGCAGGAACAAACUUUA